UUCUAGGAAAGCUGGAGUCCGCGCUUGUCAACCAAUCGCUUGCUGAAGGGCUUUGAGACGGCAUCACUUUGCCGGGCUUUUGCUCCCACCCGCGCGCAGCGCCAGUUUUCCAGAGCUCCACAGUUCCGGAGCCGCGUGGGCCUACCCACGGGGCGGGGAAGGGGAGGAGCCGCAGCUGAAAAGAGGUGGUGCGCUCCCCUGUGGACCGGGUCCAAAUCACCGCAGGAGCUCCAGGGGCUCAGGGCGGUGGAGGGUUAGAGCGAUGCAUUGCUGAACAGGCAGGAUUUGACUCCCCUGCUGCCCUCCACCAGCUGUGUGAGCUCUGCGUGUUGUUUUACCUCUAUUCCAGUGUCCUCAUGUUCAAGUGAGUUAACAUAGAGUGUACUGGGCAGAAUCCCACAGAAGCAGUUACAGGACAUGAUUAAUGAAGUGGAUGCUGAUGGCAAAGGCACCAUUGACUUCCAGGAAUUUCUGACAAUGAUGGCAUGAAAAACACAGCCAGUGAAGAAGAAAUUAGAGAAGCAUUCCGUGUGUUCGACCGGGAUGGCAGUAUUAAUUAGCACAGCAGAGCUUUGCCAUGUGCUGACAAACCUGGGAGAGAAGUAAACAGACCAAGAGGUCGAUGAAAUGACCGGGGGAAGCAGAUACUGAUGGUGAUGGUCUAAAGUAAACUGGGAAGAGUUUGUACAAACGAUGACAGAGAAGUGAAAACAUUGUACAGCAUGUGUUGAAUUUCUUACACAAAAUUGUUUAUUUGCCUUAUCUUUCUUUGUAACUUAUCAUAAAAGGUUUCCCCCUGCUGUCAAAAAAUAUGCAUGUAUAGUAAUUAGGACUUCAUUCCUCCAUGUUUUCUUCCCUUAUCUUACUGUCAUUGUCCUGAAACCUUAUUUUAGAUAAUUGAUCAAGUAACGUGUUGUGUGUGGCUUCCUCUGGUUCUGUCUAAGCCCUUCUGCACAUCUAAACUUAGAUGGAGUUGGCCAAGCGAGGGAACACCUGGGUUAUGCCUUUUUUUUUUUUUUAAGUAGUUUUCUUUAGGAACCGUCAGCUUGUUGUUGAAGUGUGGAGUUGUAACCCUGUGUAUACUACGGACACUCAGCAAUAUGUAGUUGAAAGCUGCACUAUUGCAAAACGGGUGUAUUAUCCAGGUACUUGUACACUAUUUUUUGGUACAGCUAGUCCUGCACCAGAAACAUUUCCUUUUACUGUUACUUGCUUUUUAAACUUGUUUAGCCACUUAAAGAAAAUCUGCUUAUGGCACAGUUUGCCUCAAAUCCAUUCCAAGUUGUAUAUUUGUUUUCCAAUUAAAAAAUUACAAUUUA